GUGUAUCUGACUGGCCGUUUAAAAUGUAUAUAAUAAAUCUCACCUUUCCCUCAGAAAUGCAAUUUAGAAAUGAUGGUUCAGCAGAUCUGGUAGAUUUGAAUAAUGUAAAUAGUAAUAGACAAAUAUACAGUUCAUAAACAUCUGAGCAGGCUGCAGCUUUAAGACUGAUGUUUUUUAAGCUUUUGCUUUUAAAGUUUCAGGUCAUUGCUACAGUUAUAUGAUCCAUUUGGUUUUGUUUUAAAUUCUAGAGGAAGCCCAGAGAAACUUUAGCUUUCUGUAUUUCAUCAUGUAGGCUGCACUGUAUCAGGUCAAAUGAAAGAAAUUGCAGCUACUACAGUAAAAUGUGAUUUACUGAGACAGAGAGAGAGGAGGAAGACCACAGACCCAACAUUCCAGGAAGGUCCCAGGAUUUUCAGUGUAGUAAAGGACAGAGAAGCCGAUGGGAACCACAGGAAAUCCAUGACCUGUGAAGUCAACAGUGAGGUUCCCUCGGCAGUCUUCUGCAGAAGUCAGGCGGCUCUUCCUCAAUCCUCUUCCAGUAAACCAGUAAAUGCCAGGAGAGAGUUUCUGGAGUGUGUGUGAGCAGAGGCUGUCUGCUGGGGCUUUGUGAAAGAGCGGAGAAGUGAGGGAUCUUCAGGGCUGAUCUUCGGAGAGACGCUCCUCAAGUUCUCACUCCGGCAGGAGGCAUCAAAACAUGGUGACUCUGAGAAAAAGGUGAUGUCGGGUACUUAACCACUUCGAAUCACUUUGAAUCAGUUUGUAUUCUUUCAAAGAUAUGAAACAAAGAUCAAGAAGCCCCUUUAGACACUGUAAAUUUACUUGUCUGCUUCUCUUGUUCUUUAGAGAGCAGGGUUUGUACUUAAAGAAUUCACUACUAAUACAAUGUUGAGAAACAAAGGAAAUGCAUGCAAUCAGAGAAAUAAUUUGCAUUGCUUUUUUAUUUUACAUUUUGAUAUAUUUCCCUCAGUCAUUAAAUGUCCUUCUUACAUCACAGAAAAUGUAGUCUAAGAGGAGUUCUGCAUGACAAGUAUUGCACUUUCUUUCUGAACCUACUAAAGAAUGACCUGAGAUAAUUAUGGUCCACAGCUGUGUUAAAUACCUUUAAUAAGUCUCCAGACACAUUUUGUAUGCAAAUAGGAUGUCUGCAGUCUCCAUUUUUGCUCCUUCCACUAUACCUCUGUACAGGGUUUUCUGUAGAGAAAAUGGUUAUUACCAUGCCUCUCACCUUCUAGCAAUCAAGCUGUCCUUAUGAUUAGCUUACUGAGUUUAAGAAAUGUCACAUAAAGGGCCUGUAAGCAAUGUAAUUUGAAAGUCAAGAAACUGCAAAGAAGGGUAAAGUGUGAGAUGCUAGAUGGGUCAGUCUAUGAUUAUUUUGUCAUAUAACCAGAGGGUUGUUGCUCUCUGUUUUGAAAGCUUGCCUUGAGGUCUGUUAAAGCUUAACUGAGAGUGUGCUGUUGCUUUUCCUCUACUCCAAACAAAAGACAUUAACCCUGUUCUGAGCAAACAGGACACAAAUAACCUCAGAAUGUUGACAUUCUUGUUCUGUUUGAGAUCUUUGCAUUUCUUCUUUUGUAAUU